CGACGCGCCCGGAGAUGGCUGGGUUUGGAUUGUUGUACUUUUUUUUUUGUUCGUUGCAUUUUAAGGAACAAAAAAAAAGGCCAACCCUUCACACCAUUCAUUUGCACCUCAGGAGCGA
rnacentral:precursor_RNA from 13 species